UGGAAGUAAAAGUCGUAACAAGGUCUCCGUUGGUGAACCAGCGGAGGGAUCAUUACCGAGUUUACAACUCCCAAACCCAAUGUGAACGUUACCAAACUGUUGCCUCGGCGGGAUCUCUGCCCCGGGUGCGUCGCAGCCCCGGACCAAGGCGCCCGCCGGAGGACCAACCUAAAACUCUUAUUGUAUACCCCCUCGCGGGUUUUUUUAUAAUCUGAGCCUUCUCGGCGCCUCUCGUAGGCGUUUCGAAAAUGAAUCAAAACUUUCAACAACGGAUCUCUUGGUUCUGGCAUCGAUGAAGAACGCAGCGAAAUGCGAUAAGUAAUGUGAAUUGCAGAAUUCAGUGAAUCAUCGAAUCUUUGAACGCACAUUGCGCCCGCCAGUAUUCUGGCGGGCAUGCCUGUCCGAGCGUCAUUUCAACCCUCGAACCCCUCCGGGGGGUCGGCGUUGGGGAUCGGCCCUCCCUUAGCGGGUGGCCGUCUCCGAAAUACAGUGGCGGUCUCGCCGCAGCCUCUCCUGCGCAGUAGUUUGCACACUCGCAUCGGGAGCGCGGCGCGUCCACAGCCGUUAAACACCCAACUUCUGAAAUGUUGACCUCGG
rnacentral:rRNA from 1 species